rnacentral:rRNA from 1 species
UCGGCUUAGAGUUUGAUCAUGGCUCAGGAUGAACGCUAGCGGCAGGCUUAACACAUGCAAGUCGAGGGGUAUGCAUCUUCGGAUGCGAGACCGGCGCACGGGUGCGUAACGCGUAUGCAAUCUGCCUUUCACAGAGGGAUAGCCCAGAGAAAUUUGGAUUAAUACCUCAUAGUAUUACGAAGGCAUCUUUUGUAAUUAAAGUCACAACGGUGAAAGAUGAGCAUGCGUCCCAUUAGUUAGUUGGUAAGGUAACGGCUUACCAAGACUUCGAUGGGUAGGGGUCCUGAGAGGGAGAUCCCCCACACUGGUACUGAGACACGGACCAGACUCCUACGGGAGGCAGCAGUGAGGAAUAUUGGUCAAUGGGCGCAAGCCUGAACCAGCCAUGCCGCGUGCAGGAUGACGGUCCUUGGACUGUAAACUGCUUUUGUACGAGAAGAAACACUGCUUCGUGAAGCAGCUUGACGGUAUCGUAAGAAUAAGGAUCGGCUAACUCCGUGCCAGCAGCCGCGGUAAUACGGAGGAUCCAAGCGUUAUCCGGAAUCAUUGGGUUUAAAGGGUCCGUAGCGGUCUUGUAAGUCAGUGGUGAAAGCCCGUCGCUCAACGACGGAACGGCCAUUGAUACUGCAGACUUGAAUUAUUGGGAAGUAACUAGAAUAUGUAGUGUAGCGGUGAAAUGCUUAGAGAUUACAUGGAA